rnacentral:lncRNA from 1 species
UUUAAUGGGUCUUCGUAUGAGAGAAAGGGAGGGGAUUGGGCUGUGUAAUCUUAAUCCUAGGUCAAGAUGGUGACUUUGUCAAGUGAUCUUGGCCAAUUCACCUCACCUCACUCACCUCCAGUUUUUAGCUGCUAAACUAGAGAUAGUAUUAUCUUCAUAGGGAGUUCAAAGAGGAUUAGAUAACACAAAUAAAUACUGUGAUGUCUGAAUCACUAGAAAUCAGGGGCGAUCGUUAGUCUUCGAUGAUGAACACUAUUUGUGUUGGGGUAACUGAGAAAUUACAUUUGAGUAUACACUAGGAUAUUCAGCUAGUGCAGUGUGGAGCAAGCUGAAGCCUUGAAUGAUUGAGAUUUUUUGACUGGUCUCAUUUUAUUCAUAACCUUAGCAGUAUUUUCUGUCUCCUGAUUUUUCUUUUUUCCUCUCAGUUUGGCUAAAUGAAAUGAGGCUCGAUCUCACCGUACUAAAGACUGAUUUCCCGAUCAAGGCCAGUGGAAAGGAAUAUAUAAUGAUACGUUUAUAAAUACCUGGAGGACAUCUUGAUUAUUUAUCAGCACUCCUUUUUCUUGGUCACCAAGAACUCUAAGUUAUAAAUAGCCCCAACAUGAUGCUCCAUUUAGCUGUUCAGCUCGUCCAUCUCCUGACUGCAAUCUUUUGCUUUUCUGCACACAUGAAUCAGCAAGUGUCUUGAGUGAUCAAAGUAGGUCCUCUAGGCAAAGAGAGAAAGACCAGAUGAGACCAGGAAGCCUAGAGAGACUCAUUAUCAGGAAGAUUUUCCCACU